GGGGAAUAUUGGACAAUGGGCGCAAGCCUGAUCCAGCCAUGCCGCGUGAGUGAUGAAGGCCUUAGGGUUGUAAAGCUCUUUUACCUGGGAAGAUAAUGACGGUACCAGGAGAAUAAGCCCCGGCUAACUUCGUGCCAGCAGCCGCGGUAAUACGAAGGGGGCUAGCGUUGUUCGGAUUUACUGGGCGUAAAGCGCACGUAGGCGGAUCUUUAAGUCAGGGGUGAAAUGCCGAGGCUCAACCUCGGAACUGCCUUUGAUACUGGAGAUCUUGAGUCCGGGAGAGGUGAGUGGAACUGCGAGUGUAGAGGUGAAAUUCGUAGAUAUUCGCAAGAACACCAGUGGCGAAGGCGGCUCACUGGCCCGGAACUGAAGCUGAGGUGCGAAAGCGUGGGGAGCAAA
rnacentral:rRNA from 1 species